AUUGAACGCUGGCGGCAGGCCUAACACAUGCAAGUCGAGCGGAUGAAGGGUGCUUGCUCCUGGAUUCAGCGGCGGACGGGUGAGUAAUGCCUAGGAAUCUGCCUGGUAGUGGGGGAUAACUUCCGCAAACGGGCGCUAAUACCGCAUAUGUCCUGAGGGAGAAAGUGGGGGAUUUUUGGACCUCUCGCUAUUAGUUGAGCCUAGGUCGGAUUAGCUAGUUGGUGGGGUAAAGGCCUACUAAGGCGACGAUCCGUAAUUGGUCUGUGAGGAUGAUCAGUCACACUAGAACUGAGACGCGGUCCAGACUACUACGGGAGGCAACAGUGGAGAAUAUUGGACAGGGGGCGAAAGGCUGAUCCAGCCAUGCCGAGUGUGUGAAGAAGGUCUUCGGAUUGUAAAGAACUUUAAGUUGGGAGGAAGGGCAGUAAGUUAAUACCUUGCUGUUUUGACGGUACCAAAAGAAUAAGCACCGGCUAACUUCGUG
rnacentral:rRNA from 1 species